rnacentral:rRNA from 1 species
GAAAGUAAUAAAGGGCGUAUGGGGGAUGCCUAGGCUCUUGGAGGCGAAGAAAGACGUGGUAAGCUGCGAUAAGCCUCGGGGAUUUGCAAACGAGAAUUGAUCCGAGGAUUUCUGAAUGGGACAACCCGGCAGGCAGAAGGCCUGUCACACGAAAGUGGGCCAACCCUCUGAACUGAAACAUCUUAGUAGGAGGAGGAAAAGAAAGAAACAUCGAUUUCCUAAGUAGCGGCGAGCGAACGGGAAACAGCCUAAACCACAAUUGUUACGGCAACUGUGGGGUUGUAGGACUGCAAUAUUCAAAUGACUGUGAACUGGAAUGUUCUGGAAAGUUCAUCCAUAGAGAGUGAAAGACUCGUACAGGCAAGCACGUCAGGCGAUAGCAGUAUCCUGAGUAGGGCGGGACACGAGGAAUCCUGUCUGAAUCCGCCGGGACCACCCGGUAAGGCUAAAUACUCCCAAGAGACCGAUAGUGAACCAGUACCGUGAGGGAAAGGUGAAAAGAACCCCGAACAGGGGAGUGAAAUAGAACCUGAAACCAUACGCUUACAACCUGUCGGAGCGGCUUCGUGCCGUGACGGCGUGCCUAUUGAAUAAUGAGCCUACGAGUUACUAAUCACUGGCAAGGUUAAGUGCACGGAUGCACGGAGCCGAAGCGAAAGCGAGUCUGAAUAGGGCGUUUAGUCAGUGGUUGUAGACGCGAAACCUUGCGAUCUACCCUUGAGCAGGUUGAAGGUUGGGUAAAACCAACUGGAGGACCGAACGAAUAAGCGUUGAAAAGCUUCUCGAUGACUUGAGGGUAGGGGUGAAAGGCUAAUCAAGCUGGGAAAUAGCUCGUACUCCCCGAAAUGCCUUUAGGGGCAGCGUUGUAAUUAAGAGUCUACUGGAGGUAGAGCUACUGAUUGGAUGCGGGGGCUUCACCGCCUACCAAAUCCUGACAAACUCCGAAUGCCAGUAGUAUGAUUUACAGCAGUGAGCGACCGGGUGCUAAUGUCCGGUUACGAGAGUGGAACAACACAGACCAGCAACUAAGGUCCCCAAGAGUAUACUAAGUUGAUCUAACGAUGUUUUGCUGCAGAGACAGCUAGGAUGUUAGCUUGGAAGCAGCUAUUCAUUCAAAGAGUGCGUAACAGCUCACUAGUCGAGCGGCAAAGCGUGGAUAAUAAACGGGCAUCAAGUAUACCACCGAAGUUCUGGGCACGAAAGUGCGGUAGGGGAGCAUUCCAUUCCGCGUUGAAGCCGAACCGUGAGGUUUGGUGGAGUGUAUGGAAAAGCAAAUGUAGGCAUGAGUAACGAUAAUGCGGGAGAGUAACCCGCACACCGCAAGACCAAGGUUUCCUGAUCAACGCUAAUCGGAUCAGGGUUAGUCGGGUCCUAAGGGUAAGCCGAACGGUGAUCUCGAUGGAUAAUCGGUUAAUAUUCCGAUACUGACAUAUACCUCGAUGGAGAGACGAAGGAACGUAAGUGCCGCCACCUGACGGAAUAGGUGGUUAAAGGGCUUAGGUAUAGGGGCAGAUUAAGAGUUAGUCCUUGCUGAAACCUGACAGUACAGAGAGCCUACGGGCAAUUUGAUAGUGCACCCAAGUCGACUUCCGAGAAAAUCUUCUAAGUUAUAGUAUAUGUCACCCGUACCGUAAACCGACACAGGUGGUCGAGGAGAGUAUCCUAAGGUGCUCGAGUGAAUCACGGUUAAGGAACUAGGCAAAUUAACCCCGUAACUUCGGGAAAAGGGGUCCCAUCGCGAGGUGGGCGCAGCGAAGAGGUCCAGGCGACUGUUUAUCAAAAACACAGGGCUCUGCAAAUUCGAAAGAAGACGUAUAGGGCCUGACACCUGCCCGGUGCUGGAAGGUUAAGAGGGGAUGUCAUCGCAAGAGAAGCAUUGAAUCGAAGCCCCAGUAAACGGCGGCCGUAACUAUAACGGUCCUAAGGUAGCGAAAUUCCUUGUCGGGUAAGUUCCGACCUGCACGAAUGGUGUAACGAUCUGGACAC